UUAACUGAAAUUUGUAUAGAGUUGGAAAGUUUGCCUACGUUUGCCGCUAGGGGCGCUGUCCCAACUGCAUACAAAUUUAAGUUA
rnacentral:pre_miRNA from 1 species